UGGCUUUCAGUCACGCUGAAAUGACCUCUGGCCUAUCAGUAAAUGUUAGAAUCGCGUCAGUCUAAUGCGACAAUUGCCUGACUAAUGAGCGUUAGGGAAGUUGACUGCAGUAUGUCCAUUCAUUUGUUCUACUUCAAAACAGCCUGACCAGCUCUGCUAUGACUGUGCAAGUCCUCAUAUCUCCCUACAGCUAAAACAUUUUUGUAACAUUUUAGGUCUAGAGAGGGGGCUCUGACCGGCCGUCUAAGAAGAUCGAAUUGGGAUUUCCCCAACAAAUAGACUGAGUGGAAUGUCACGAGGAGAGACCGGUCCAUGCCCAGCGAGACAGGAGAUGUUUGUCCUAAUGGAUUACAUGAAAAAUCAGCCUGAUAUGAACAGAGACUGGGUGGUUGAAGUCCAGGAAAACUUUGGGCUGAACCACAAGACUGUACCUGGUGGUGAAGCUGACGGACCUCUACCUGGCCUGCAACAUCAUCAUGAAGGAGAGUCUGCAGCUUAUUGGAUCCACAGCUGUGCUCACCACCUCUAAGUUUGAGAACAAAAAUGAAUAGAAAGACUGUGCCUGUCUCCUUAUCAACCUUAAGACGAAGGACACGUGUAGACGUUCAAAAAAGGCAUAAUCAAAUAUGGACAGACUUGACUGACAUGGACAGGACAGGAACAGGGGCAGAUGACAGAGUUCUUUCUGAGGACACUGCCCCACCCUCUUCAGCUGCACAUGCAAUGCCAGAGGUGCAAGUUGUUACUGAAGAUGACAUGGAAUUGGAGGCAGAUUUUGAUGAUGUGUACAUUACUCUGGAUGAAAAUUUGCUGAUGCCUUUUCAUCUAAUUGAAUUUCAAGCAAGCGAGGACAUUGCUGUUGUGCCAGUUGACUGGUAUGAUGACGGGAUGGUGUACUGGCCCAGCUUUAAGAGCACUGAACAUGUGAAACGGGCAGCUGCUAACGAGGAGAAGCAUGAGCCAAACUGGCCAAGAUAUGACGUAAAGGUCAUCAGAACUUGUGACAACUACAAAGACGCCAUCAGGCUAAUGAAUCAAUAUCAGACCGGCUGCAACGCCUCUGAGCUACAGUCUGAGGGUGAGCUGCCAGAGAAACGAGUCAGGAAGCCAAUCCAUCGUUUUGGGGAUUCUGAUGAGAGUGAAGAAGAGCCAGAAAAUUGUUACUUAGCUUCUCUGAGGUCGCCACGACCUUCCAACUCGGCUUGUGUAUCAGUUGGAGCCUCAAGCCCAAACCAAUUACACUGGCAGACUCCACCAUCUCGCCGAGUGCCAGGCAGCAGAGUCACUACUCAACCUGGAGGAAACUGUCUAGGUAAAGGGACCCCGUCUAGAUUAACACAACAAUG
ensembl:lncRNA